rnacentral:rRNA from 1 species
CCUUACGGCCACCACCGGCCUGAGUACAGCCUGAUCUCGUCUGAUCUCGGAAGCUAAGCAGGGUCGGGCCUGGUUAGUACCUUGGAUGGGAGACCGCCUAGGAAUACCAGGUGCUGUAAGCU